rnacentral:rRNA from 1 species
UUUUGGAUGGACUCGCGGCCUAUCAGCUUGUUGGUGGGGUAAUGGCCUACCAAGGCGACGACGGGUAGCCGGCCUGAGAGGGUGACCGGCCACACUGGGACUGAGACACGGCCCAGACUCCUACGGGAGGCAGCAGUGGGGAAUAUUGCACAAUGGGCGCAAGCCUGAUGCAGCGACGCCGCGUGAGGGAUGACGGCCUUCGGGUUGUAAACCUCUUUCAGUAGGGAAGAAGCGAAAGUGACGGUACCUGCAGAAGAAGCGCCGGCUAACUACGUGCCAGCAGCCGCGGUAAUACGUAGGGCGCAAGCGUUAUCCGGAAUUAUUGGGCGUAAAGAGCUCGUAGGCGGUUUGUCGCGUCUGCCGUGAAAGUCCGGGGCUCAACUCCGGAUCUGCGGUGGGUACGGGCAGACUAGAGUGAUGUAGGGGAGACUGGAAUUCCUGGUGUAGCGGUGAAAUGCGCAGAUAUCAGGAGGAACACCGAUGGCGAAGGCAGGUCUCUGGGCAUUAACUGACGCUGAGGAGCGAAAGCAUGGGGAGCGAACAGGAUUAGAUACCCUGGUAGUCCAUGCCGUAAACGUUGGGCACUAGGUGUGGGGGACAUUCCACGUUUUCCGCGCCGUAGCUAACGCAUUAAGUGCCCCGCCUGGGGAGUACGGCCGCAAGGCUAAAACUCAAAGGAAUUGACGGGGGCCCGCACAAGCGGCGGAGCAUGCGGAUUAAUUCGAUGCAACGCGAAGAACCUUACCAAGGCUUGACAUGAACCGGAUCGCUGCAGAAAUGUGGUUUCCCCUUUGGGGCUGGUUUACAGGUGGUGCAUGGUUGUCGUCAGCUCGUGUCGUGAGAUGUUGGGUUAAGUCCCGCAACGAGCGCAACCCUCGUUCUAUGUUGCCAGCACGUGAUGGUGGGGACUCAUAGGAGACUGCCGGGGUCAACUCGGAGGAAGGUGGGGACGACGUCAAAUCAUCAUGCCCCUUAUGUCUUGGGCUUCACGCAUGCUACAAUGGCCGGUACAAAGGGUUGCGAU